AUUUUAGCAUGGAAUAAUGGAAUAAGACGUGCGGUUCUAUUUUGUUGGUUUCUAGGACCGCCGUAAUGAUUAAUAGGGAUAGUCGGGGGCAUCAGUAUUCAUUUGUGAGAGGUGAAAUUCUUGGAUUUAUUGAACACUAACUACUGCGAAAGCAUUUGCCAAGGAUGUUUUCAUUAAUCACUGAACGAAGGUUAAGGGAUCGAAGACGAUCAGAUACCGUCGUAGUCUUUUCCAUAAACUAUGCCGACUAGGGAUCGGGCGAUGUUAUCAUUUUGACUCGCUCGGCACCUUACGAUAAAUCAUAGUCUUUGGGUUCUGGGGGGAGUAUGGUCGCAAGGUUGAAACUUACAGAAAUUGGCGGAAAGGCACCUCCACUAGUGGAGCCUGCGGCUUAAUUUGACUCGACACGGGGAAACUCACCAGGUCCAGAAAUCUCUAAA
rnacentral:rRNA from 1 species